GACAGAGGGUGCUAGCGUUGUUCGGAAUUACUGGGCGUAAAGGGCGCGUAGGCGGCCCGUUUAGUCGGGUGUGAAAUCCCGGGGCUCAACCCCGGAACUGCAUUCGAUACUGGCGGGCUUGAGACCGGAAGAGGUGGGUGGAAUACCCAGUGUAGAGGUGAAAUUCGUAGAUAUUGGGUGGAACACCGGUGGCGAAGGCGGCUCACUGGUCCGGUUCUGACGCUGAGGCGCGAAAGCGUGGGGGAGCAAACAGG
rnacentral:rRNA from 1 species